GUGAGAGUGAACUGAGCCUAUCAGAGGAGAGGAGCAGAAAGAAAGCAAAGGGAUGAGUGUCAACUGUGUUCAAGUUUUGGGAGUAGGAAUGGGGCAUAUGGAAGCUGAAGAAGCAGAUGCCCUUUCCCUGGCAGGGGAGAGAAGGGAGCUGCCAAAGAGGUUCCAUGGUGUAAUGGUGAGGACCCUGGAUCCAGCGAUCCGAGUUCAAAUCUCGUGAGACCUUUCUGAUUAAUUAGAAACAAUGUCCCUGUGAGUAAAUGGUGACAUGGAGGGCCUGCGAUGUUGCUAAUCAGCCGGGAAUCCCGACAGCUUUCGGGUGGAGAGUUCCAUACCUGAAUGGGAAGAACUGCGUUUUAUUCAAGUUCUCUACUCUUCCGAAUUUUUAUUUGCCCAGUCUCAGUUUAUUAUGAUUUUAUUCAGAGUUUCUCACUCUUAAGUCUCCGUUGGACAUGCAAAGCCGCUGUUCAGUCAAGAUUCGAACCUUCACUCAUGGAAUCCUGUGCCUUGGUCCCAAGCUCAGACCGAAAGAGGAGCGAGGGUAGCAUAUUCCGGCGUCUGAGGAGACCCAGGUCCCUGACCCAGGGCCGCCCGGCCAGGCUGCUCCGUGGACGAAGGGGAGAUGAGCCGUUGGGAGUCUGAAGCGGGGGGCUGGGUUCCCUUCGUUCUGCCGAGACUCUGCUCCACUGAGAUGAUUUCUCACGACGUGAGCGAAUGGAAACACUUGUGUCCUCUACUGCUCGGGAGAAAAACACUGAUGAGGCCCGUGAUGGACCUGAAUAGCUAGUUAAAGUUUUCCCUUCGAGGUGCUAAGAAGCAUCACUCUGAUACUUAUAAUUUGGAACUUUCAGUGGUUACAAAGGACUCAAUGACGCAGCUGUCAUUGUAGGACAAGAAACAAAGGUGUGAGGCUGGCGAAAAGAUCCGAGGAAGGCAAAGAUCAGGAGGGAACACAGGAUGAGCCAGAAGGGAGAAAGGGAUUGGAAGGGAGAGGAGUGGGUGGUCUCUGGGUUGGGGUGACCACAGUGUCUCACUCUGGUGUUCCCACCCUUUACUGAAGUGUCCCAGGACCCGAUUCACCCCAAAUCGCAAAGCUGCUGGAGUGGCAUUUGUUCUGGCAAAGUUCCCUUUGCGGUUCUGUGUGGAGCAGUGAGGUGGGCUGUGUGGGUCUGCAGCGUCUGGGGUGGGAAACU
ensembl:lncRNA